rnacentral:rRNA from 1 species
UACGGAGGGGGCUAGCGUUUUUCGGAAUUACUGGGCGUAAAGCGCGCGUAGGCGGACUGUUAAGUCGGGGGUGAAAUCCCGGGGCUCAACCCCGGAACUGCCUUCGAUACUGGCGGUCUAGAGGUCUGGAGAGGUGAGUGGAAUUCCGAGUGUAGAGGUGAAAUUCGUAGAUAUUCGGAGGAACACCAGUGGCGAAGGCGGCUCACUGGCCAGAUUCUGACGCUGAGGUGCGAAAGCGUGGGGAGCAAACAGG